rnacentral:rRNA from 1 species
UUGAACGCUGGCGGCAGGCCUAACACAUGCAAGUCGAGCGGUAGCACAGAGAGCUUGCUCUCGGGUGACGAGCGGCGGACGGGUGAGUAAUGUCUGGGAAACUGCCUGAUGGAGGGGGAUAACUACUGGAAACGGUAGCUAAUACCGCAUAAUGUCGCAAGACCAAAGUGGGGGACCUUCGGGCCUCAUGCCAUCAGAUGUGCCCAGAUGGGAUUAGCUAGUAGGUGGGGUAACGGCUCACCUAGGCGACGAUCCCUAGCUGGUCUGAGAGGAUGACCAGCCACACUGGAACUGAGACACGGUCCAGACUCCUACGGGAGGCAGCAGUGGGGAAUAUUGCACAAUGGGCGCAAGCCUGAUGCAGCCAUGCCGCGUGUGUGAAGAAGGCCUUCGGGUUGUAAAGCACUUUCAGCGGGGAGGAAGGCGGUGAGGUUAAUAACCUCAUCGAUUGACGUUACCCGCAGAAGAAGCACCGGCUAACUCCGUGCCAGCAGCCGCGGUAAUACGGAGGGUGCAAGCGUUAAUCGGAAUUACUGGGCGUAAAGCGCACGCAGGCGGUCUGUCAAGUCGGAUGUGAAAUCCCCGGGCUCAACCUGGGAACUGCAUUCGAAACUGGCAGGCUAGAGUCUUGUAGAGGGGGGUAGAAUUCCAGGUGUAGCGGUGAAAUGCGUAGAGAUCUGGAGGAAUACCGGUGGCGAAGGCGGCCCCCUGGACAAAGACUGACGCUCAGGUGCGAAAGCGUGGGGAGCAAACAGGAUUAGAUACCCUGGUAGUCCACGCCGUAAACGAUGUCGAUUUGGAGGUUGUGCCCUUGAGGCGUGGCUUCCGGAGCUAACGCGUUAAAUCGACCGCCUGGGGAGUACGGCCGCAAGGUUAAAACUCAAAUGAAUUGACGGGGGCCCGCACAAGCGGUGGAGCAUGUGGUUUAAUUCGAUGCAACGCGAAGAACCUUACCUGGUCUUGACAUCCACAGAACGUGCCAGAGAUGGAUUGGUGCCUUCGGGAACUGUGAGACAGGUGCUGCAUGGCUGUCGUCAGCUCGUGUUGUGAAAUGUUGGGUUAAGUCCCGCAACGAGCGCAACCCUUAUCCUUUGUUGCCAGCGGUUAGGCCGGGAACUCAAAGGAGACUGCCAGUGAUAAACUGGAGGAAGGUGGGGAUGACGUCAAGUCAUCAUGGCCCUUACGACCAGGGCUACACACGUGCUACAAUGGCAUAUACAAAGAGAAGCGACCUCGCGAGAGCAAGCGGACCUCAUAAAGUAUGUCGUAGUCCGGAUUGGAGUCUGCAACUCGACUCCAUGAAGUCGGAAUCGCUAGUAAUCGUAGAUCAGAAUGCUACGGUGAAUACGUUCCCGGGCCUUGUACACACCGCCCGUCACACCAUGGGAGUGGGUUGCAAAAGAAGUAGGUAGCUUAACCUUCGGGAGGGCGCUUACCACUUUGUGAUUCAUGACUGGGGUG